GACGAACGCUGGCGGCGUGCUUAACACAUGCAAGUCGAACGGACAGGCCAUGCUUUUGUUGGGUGCUCGAGUGGCGAACGGGUGAGUAACACGUGAGUAACCUGCCCUUGACUUUGGGAUAACUUCAGGAAACUGGGGCUAAUACCGGAUAGUAGCUCCUGCUGCAUGGUGGGGGUUGGAAAGUUUCGGCGGUUGGGGAUGGACUCGCGGCUUAUCAGCUUGUUGGUGUGGUAGUGGCUUACCAAGGUUUCGACGGGUAGCCGGCCUGAGAGGGUGACCGGGCACAGGGGGACUGAGGGAGGGCCCAGACGGCUACGGGAGGCAGCGGGGGGAAAUAUGGCGGAAUGGGCGGAAGCCUGAUGCAGAGACGCCGGGUGCGGGAUGACGGCUUUCGGGGUGUAAACCGCUUUGGACUGUGACGAAGAGUGAGUGACGGUAAUGGGUAAGGAAGCAACGGCUAACUACGUG
rnacentral:rRNA from 1 species